GGAAGAAGCCGGACGUCCCAUGCACAUAAAGGAGAUUAAGCAGAGAAUCAUCGACAGGGGACUUGUUCAAUCCAAUGCAAAGUCAAGCCUGGAAGCAGUCAUGUACCGUGAGACACAAAAAGGCAGCAGGAGAUUCAAGAGGAUUGAGAACAGAAACGGAGUCUUUGCACUGCU